AGUGAACGCUGGCGGUAGGCCUAACACAUGCAAGUCGAACGGCAGCACAGUAAGAGCUUGCUCUUACGGGUGGCGAGUGGCGGACGGGUGAGGAAUACAUCGGAAUCUACUUUUUCGUGGGGGAUAACGUAGGGAAACUUACGCUAAUACCGCAUACGACCCACGGGUGAAAGCAGGGGAUCUUCGGACCUUGUGCGAUUGAAUGAGCCGAUGUCGGAUUAGCUAGUUGGCGGGGUAAAGGCCCACCAAGGCGACGAUACGUAGCUGGUCUGAGAGGAUGAUCAGCCACACUGGAACUGAGACACGGUCCAGACUCCUACGGGAGGCAGCAGUGGGGAAUAUUGGACAAUGGGCGCAAGCCUGAUCCAGCCAUACCGCGUGGGUGAAGAAGGCCUUCGGGUUGUAAAGCCCUUUUGUUGGGAAAGAAAAGCAGCAGGUUAAUACCCCGCUGUUCUGACGGUACCCAAAGAAUAAGCACCGGCUAACUUCGUG
rnacentral:rRNA from 1 species